rnacentral:rRNA from 1 species
GACGAACGCUGGCGGCGUGCCUAAUACAUGCAAGUCGAACGCUUUUUCUUUCACCGGAGCUUGCUCCACCGAAAGAAAAAGAGUGGCGAACGGGUGAGUAACACGUGGGUAACCUGCCCAUCAGAAGGGGAUAACACUUGGAAACAGGUGCUAAUACCGUAUAACACUAUUUUCCGCAUGGAAGAAAGUUGAAAGGCGCCUUUGCGUCACUGAUGGAUGGACCCGCGGUGCAUUAGCUAGUUGGUGAGGUAACGGCUCACCAAGGCAACGAUGCGUAGCCGACCUGAGAGGGUGAUCGGCCACACUGGGACUGGGACACGGCCCAGACUCCUACGGGAGGCAGCAGUAGGGAAUCUUCGGCAAUGGACGAAAGUCUGACCGAGCAACGCCGCGUGAGUGAAGAAGGUUUUCGGAUCGUAAAACUCUGUUGUUAGAGAAGAGCAAGGAUGAGAGUAGAACGUUCAUCCCUUGACGGUAUCUAACCAGAAAGCCACGGCUAACUACGUGCCAGCCGCCGCGGUAA